GAUUUUCUUUUUCCUAUAUUUCAUUUUGACAUAUACCCUUUUUGCAUACUUUUAUUUUUUCAGGAUGACAGAUGUUAUAAUGAUAGAACUUCCAUGGAGAUGGUAACUGGCUUCUCUGAAACGCAUUCAAAGGGUAAAUCUGUUUUAGGGAAGCACUUUGGAUUCUUGAAAACAUCUGUCAGUGGAAGAACUUCAUCAGAAAAAUCUAGUGGAUUGAAGGGAAGGAAGAGGCAAUAAGAAUUGGCAAAAGAGUAUAUGUUGUGUGUGUCUGCAGCUGCAGUUGAAGAGAGUAAAGAAGAUUGAUGUUUGAGGGGUGAAUAGGGGGCAUGACAAGGGGAAAAAAGGGGCUUUAGAUUUCUGAGGAUCUUGUUUUCAUCCUCUUUUCUUUUUAUAUUAUUUUUAAUCUUCUUCCUAGUUACUAUUAUUCCUGUCUAUGUAGUGGGAAACAACAGAAAAAUAUAAAUGUCAAAAAAAAGAAGAAUGGAGAAAACUGUCUGUAUUUUAUUAUCUCUCUCCUACACCAGAAAAAAAAAACAUAAGUCUGGAGAAAAAAUAAUAAUAACAAUAAUAUUUAGUCCAUUUUCAAUUUUU